UUUCCUUUUUCCAGGGGGAGCUGUGGGGUCUCAUUGCCUUUGGUUGCUGUGGCUGGCACUGGCUUGGCUGUGCCUUUCAUCAGAUGGCUUCAGAGGUUCUCUCCUGCACCCUGCCCUAUCCCUGUGCUUUUGACACAUUCAGGGACAAAGUUGGAGUUCCCACCAACCCCACUGAAGGCUCUGCAAUGUACUGCAUCUCCCACUUAGAUGAAUGCUCAUCGUUUUGGCUGGUGAAUGGGAAGAUUUCAAAAUGAAGGGUGAGGGCCAUCCAUACCUGGGGAAUUCAGCUGGACCCCAGGAGCAGAGAGGACUGUGGCUGCAUACCUCCAGGCUGAGAAGGAAGCUCAACACAGAUUUUGCCUUUCCCAGACUGGGAGUUUACUCUUGCCCAUGAUGUAUGUGGAGCAACCCUUCCCCUGAGAGGAGAGCGAGAAGCUGGUAUACACUUGCCCUGGACUUAGACCAACCCCAUGGAUUAGAGCAGCCAGCAGUAUCCUGUUUGUUCACGUCUCAGAUUAGCCUGUGUGAAGUCUUCUCUCACAGACUCGUGAGAUAGGGUUGUGUAUGUGAAGAAUUACGGACUUCCAUGGGUGCUGAGCACAGCUGGCUCCAGAAUUGUCAGAGAUCAGCACCAGUUUAGAUGUCAAAGGACAAAAGGCAAAGAACUGACAUCCAUCUUCAGAUUUCCAAAAAAUAUUUUGCAAGCAACUGGCCUUCUAGAUCCUGGUGGGUCCCAGCUUCCCAGGCUCUCUCCUCAGAUCCAGCUGCUUGCUUCUAGUAAGAAGAGGAAGGCGGAAUAUCAGUGAAAUACUCCCUGAAAUAACAAGAGGGAAAUAGAAGCUGCCUUCACAUCUUGACCCAAAAUAUUGAGGCUUCUUCUAGUUAAGGUGGUAUCUGCAUCUUUAAUGAGACUGUGACUCAGAGAGCAGAUCUCAAGACUGACAGAUUUUCCUAACUCCAGGUGUAGCCUGUCGAAAAAUCUAUGAAAAAUCAGAUGUGCUUUCCUGAAAUGGAAUUUAAGAACAUCUUCGAGCUGACCAAAGAAUAUACCUAGAGAAGUGGUAACCUUUUGUUUGGAUAAAACUUUCACUGGGACCAAAAUAUAGUUGCUUACAUAAGUUGUUUUUUGGGUGUUUUUUUUAAGACUUCGUCUUAAAAAAUUACAGUAUGAUGGAUGGCUGAAGGAAACCUACGUUUUGGGAUGUUGUUGAGGAGGGAUUCGUUUUAUUUACCUGUUUCUGAAGUAAAUUUCUAUGUUUUUAUUCUGCAAAAACAAUGUUCAGAUUACAAAAUCUUCAGUUUGAAGGGAUAUCUGCAGUUCUACGAGAAGUCUUUCGAAACUCUCUCAAGAUACUCUUUCACAUUUUGUCUAUAACCAACAACCUUUCAUAGAAUCAUAGAAUCGCUAAGGUUGGAAAAGACCCACAGGAUCAUCCAGUCCAACCAUUUGCCCAUCACCAAUGGUUCUCGCUAAACCAUGUCCCUCAACACAACAUCCAAACGCUCUUUGAACACCACCAGGGUCGGUGACUCCAACACAUCUCUGGGCACUUUCUCAGGACAGAUGCCUUGGAGUUAACUCAGCAGAGUCAUGCUGAUGUAAACUUGGG
ensembl:lncRNA